GCUCCAGUGGCGCAAUCGGUUAGCGCGCGGUACUUAUACGGCGGUAUAUGUGCGGGUGAUGCCGAGGUUGUGAGUUCGAGCCUCACCUGGAGCA
rnacentral:tRNA from 1 species